rnacentral:lncRNA from 1 species
AUCAGACACGAAGGAGAGGCCAACAGAUGAGGGAAGCCAUUUUUCUGCAAUGGAAUUAAAUGGCCAAGCCCAAGGACUCACAGUUGGAAGACUGGAGAAGACUUUUUAAAAAGAUCUGGAUUUUUCCUUAUGACUUGGAAUCCAUCUUUGUCUUGUAUAACUAGGUCAUAGCACACCAUUCAUGUCAGCAGUUAACAGUUUUGAAUUCCAAAAAAACCUAAGUAAAUGACAUAUUUUUUUUCCUCUUUUUGUUCUAUGGGUGGGUGGGGGGAGCUUGGAGCUGUCUUAAUCUGUAUUCUCUUGACUGAACAAUAAAUUUUUAAAUAUAUCUAGUUUCCUCUAUUAAACACUUAAACCUGGCCAUCUUAUUAACUCCUUCUCUCUUUUUAACAAGGUAAUGUUUUAAAUGUAUAUAGCUUUAGGACUAGCGAAAUGGCAGCAACAAAAAAUUGUGAGCAGUUGUUACUCUUUUAGUUUUUAAAAAACCUUUUACAUUGUAAGUACCCAAUCCAUUCUGUCCUGACGCAGUACAGUUUUGAUGUUAAUGUUGCUGAGAUGUCCUUAAUUUUCCGAACCUUCAUCUGCAUGUAUGUCUUUGUCUCUCUUGUCUAAUAUAAGCCAGUUAAGAUGCUUGAGACGAUCUUGCUUUAUAAAGCUAAGGUUCUAGCUUUAUGCUUUUGAAAAUGUUUACAGCACUAAAUGCUAGUCAGCUUUCUUCCCCGUAGCUUGUACACUUUCUUUGAAAAUCGAUCUAUUUGAAGAAAAACAGCCCUGUUUUUCUCGUCUUUGGUGUUGGGGGUUGGGGGGAGCUGGUGGGUGAGGGAAAGGAAGACCUUUUCUUUGUGUAGAGAGACUAAAGCCGUCACAGGAAACUAGAUUAAAACUGGAAAACAAGUCCUAGCUGGUUCCAGCAAACACCAACGUUAAGUGGGGGGUAUUUUCUAUGGUGGUUGGGCGGCUGGUGCGUCUUGUGCCUUUUGUUUGAUUUGACUGUAUUUUCGCCUUUUGUCUCUUAAUGACGAUCACACCAUUGCUAUAUCCAGAGCAGUAAACAGUCCUCAGCGAAGCCGCCUUUUUGCCUACCCAACCCUGGAAAGUUUGCAGAAGUGGAAGGAGCAGAACGUGAGGGUGUAACUUACAAAAAGGUUCUGGGCCGGAGAAGGGGCGACGUUCGGGCACCCCCCGAAUGGACAAUCUUUCCUUCUGUCAACGGCAGGGGCAGGCCUAGUUUGACUCUGACAGUCCUCCCACUAAGGAAUUCCUGGUGACUGGAAGGGGGAGUGACUCAGGCCCUCAACCUCUAGCAGGUAAGGGAGCUACCUCCUGGGUGGGCAUGCCCAGUUCCUCAGUGGGCCCAGCGCGGCCCAGCCUCCGAGGAAGCUCUGAGCAGCUGGCUUGGCUCCGAGGUAUUUUUAGCUACAGAUCCAGCCCCCCUCCAUCACCACAACAGUCGAGUCCAAAUCAAACGCGCUCCAGGCAGGUGGGGCUGGGGUUCUGCCAGCCUCCUGGCCAGCAGGGGUGGGUGGGCAGACUGGGGCCAGUAUCAGCUGUUCUGCCUGGACCCAGGCCGGGCUGGGAAGGCACACUUGUGCUUAUUUCCCGCCUCCACUUCUGUGCAAGCUUGUGCUGUCAUAAGCAGAGAUCACAGCCCCAUUUCUUGGAUGGAGAAAGUGGACACUGAGGUCUGAGGCUUUUGAGGACAGUCAGGAGCCCUCCUAUGGGCUCCAGUGAUGCACUCACCAGCUUCUGGUCCUCUUCUUCCACCUCUUAGAGUGCCUUGGCUCCCUCCUGUCGUCCUGGGGAACCUCGGCCCCAGCCCUGCCUCCCCAGCCAGUCACAGCUCCUCCCUGGUCACCCUGAGGGAGCUCAGGGCCCGGCUGGUAGCUGGGUUGCUCUGCUUCUGUCCCCCACUCCUGUGGAGCCUGGCAGGCAACUCCAUGAUCUGACCCCGGUUACCUUGACAGCCCUGCCUGGCCUCCCCUCUCAUGGCCCAGCCACCCCAGAACCUGAAGAGGUUUUCUAGCUGCCGUGCAUUUGCCAGGCUGGGUUACCCACCCUACUUUCCCUGCCUGCCCUCCAGUGCUGCCAGGCCUAGUGUGCCAGCCAGCGCUCAGCCUUCAGUAAAGGGUUCCCCUGCUUCCAACCUCCAUUGCACUGCUUCCCCUAAGACUGUGACCUCCUGGAAGGCUGGAGCACAACUGCCUCUCAAUAAACGUGUUGCAAAAAAGGAA